rnacentral:rRNA from 1 species
AUGUCAUUGGUGCCAUGUAUAACUAGUUGGAUGAAGGGUUGCUCUCCAGCGGCCGACGAGGAGAGGGCAGCGAUGGUGCCGCUGCCUCCUCCAGCUAGGGACGAGAUCGUCGACGAGGAUCUGGCGGCGGAGCACACCAAGCCGUGCUGGACGACGACGGCGAAGGGCGGCGUUGGAGUGGUCAUGUCCAUCUUUGUGCUUCUUGCUUUGCUAGUCGGCAUCAAAUGGAUCCACCUCGACGCAGCUUACUACACGUUCUUGCCGGCGGGCACCGGGUUCAGUCAGCAUAGACGCGGCCACUCGUCCACGGCGCCCCUGGUACCCAUACCAUUGAGCUGCAGCAACGACACCGACACAUCGUCCUCGUCAUCCAACAAACGGCGGUACUAUCCAGGCGUGCGGCCGCCUUGGUGCCCGGACUACUUCCGCCACAUCCACGCGGACAUGGAGCCGUGGCGCGCGACGGGGAUCACGCGGGACGCGGUGGAGCGCGCGCAGCCCCACGCCGACUUCCGGCUGCUGGUGGUGGCCGGGCGCGCGUACGUGGAGAAGUACCGCGACUCGUUCCAGACCCGGGACGUCUUCACGCAGUGGGGCAUCCUGCAGCUGCUCGCCCGCUACCCGGGCCGCGUCCCGGACGUCGACAUCAUGUUCAGCACCCUCGACUCUGUCAGAUAA